ACUGGGGAGGCCUCGCAGGCGCCUCGACAAACGCACUCGAAAAGUUCCGCAAGUAUUUUCCUGUACUACCCUCUAAAUCUGUAUAAAUCUUAUUGGUGACAGGAUAUUCGACUUUGAAAAGUGCUUUGCGGCAUCCGACCUAGCUACUUGUCGGGUGAUGCUACGCGAUCGGCUCUACGCUGUCGCCGUUGGUUGUGCAGCUGCGGCAGGGUUUUCUUGGCACUUGUCCCGUCUGGUCGGAGAGCAGCCUGCGCAAGCGGUCGCGUGCAGACGCGAGCAGCUCGGGACAAGUGGUGUACGACCGCAGCUCCACUACGACUGGCAAAGCGCGGGCCGUAGAGUCAUCCCGGACCUGGUGCCUUUUGCAGCUGCCGGGACAGUGCAGCAGAAGCAGUCGCAGCAGCAGCAGCAGCUUGAAAAUCUGGAGCAGUUUCUUCGUCGACGCUGGGCUUUCACGUGGAACGAAAGCAUCAACGCGCUACUGGAUGCCUUGCAACAGUUAGAUGCGGAACGACUCCAGCGAUAUCCACGUGAGUUGUGGCAGCGAUGGCGGCGACAGCAAUCUGUAUGAGCCCCGGGUACCGCGAGUUGCGGAUGGAUAUGCGACUUGCACGAGAAGCCGAAAGAUUGAUGCGUUUCUGGUGCGCUCCGAGGAGGUUGAAUGGAGGUUCGCGACGCGUUUGACACGGGUCUCGUGGCGCCGCGGAUCGUUCUGCAACAACCGGCCGCAUGCUCGCUUCGACGCCGUCUGGUACGGUUUCGCAGGCUUUGGUAUCGCAUUUCUCGGAAGCAGCGCAAGCGGCAUCGGAUGCGUGGAAAGAAAGUGAGACACGGGUUGGUUACAGAGCCGUCCCCGGAUUCCGGCAUGCGUUACUCGCGCUUCGUACGCACUGCAAAGCGUACGCGUUCACGUUAUCCAGUCGCGCAGCAUGCGCAUCGCGUCGGUUGCGUCGACUGAGGCGAACCCCGUGUCGAGCGCAUUCCCAGGUGAGUCGGGGUCCCUGGUACGGUUGCAGUCACGCGACGCCUGCGCCCUCGACGAUGCGUGCCCGGCGGUGCAUGCUCAGCUUAUCAAGCAGCCGCUAUGAAUACCGCCGCAGCCGCCGCCACGGAAAUGCACCAUGUGCGUCAUCUGGGUUGCACCCGGCACGAGGCUGACAUUCGAAUACUUUUUAAGGAAAGCCCCCGGUGCCGAGGUACACGCGUGCUGCCGCCUGGCAUGGACAAACCGUACCCGUUGCCAAAUAUGCAGAAUGCACCUUGCCAUCCUUACCAAGAUACAUUGAGAUCCUGCACGCGCUCAGGUCGAGGACGCAUGCGUGUCAUUCACUGCAAACAAGAUACUUGCAUCUUUCCAGAUGCUUCCGAAUGCGUAUAUGCUGCAUACGCUCAGGAGAAUGGCAAUACCGGGUCCUAUACAAACGCUGGGUCUUUACACGAGCUCCAUCGCAGAGACGCCCCGCAUGAAAUACAGACUAGAUCAACCUUGUCACUCGUUGGACGCCGAGCCUACCUACCGCACUACCCCUACAGAGAGCAUACGGCUUUGCCAGACUCCAACGGGCACCUGUGCGGCGACGACACCAGCAUGUCCAUGCGGCUGCACGCAUUCCAUAUGCAUGCGUGCGCCUCGUGACUGCAGCGUGAAAGGCCGCGCUUGGAGAACGCAUAUAAAAAGCGCUUUGGAACUGUUUGUGACGCUCUUUACGAACUGCGUAUGCGUCACUGAUGAUCGCUGUAGGCGCCGCGAGAUUUGUCGACUCGGGCAGAGCGUCUGGCUUCGCAAACGAGCGCCUUGAACCUGACGCCAUCGACGUAUAGGCAGCUCGUGGCGAAGAUUUCUGGCGCGAGGGUGCAUACCAUGCACGAUCCAGGCCGUUUUUCUGUUGCUUACUCGGUGCCAUGUUGCUUGCCUGUGUCUCGUUUUGGAUCAGGUUCACAGGCGCGAUCAUGCGCUGGUCACUGUGGACGCGCGUGGUCGUCCACCGUGCCUUGUUGAGCGUGCUUCGCAACGGUGCGUGUCCAUGAGGCAGCCCUGCCGCUGCCCGAGUGUUGAAUAAAUACCUCCAGAGCAUUACUCCAUGGGUCCAGGUCGGGGCAAGCGGGCGGCAAGCAGCAGGCGCCGCAGCAACGUGCGCUCUGUCGACCGGGCCGUAGACUGCCCUGCUGCGCAUGCGCCCGUCUCAUCUGGGCUAGCGUGGGAGCGCUCUGUUGACAAGGCAUCGUCGCUGCUGUGGCCCCUGAUCGGCCAGAAGCGUGUGCGAAACCUGGAACUAGCCGCACACAUCGUGCUGGGCGCCACCUGUUGUUCUCGUUCUUGCUGCUGCUGCUGCUGCUGCUCCGCUGCUGUGCCGGGUGCGGCAGCCUCGAGGUCCGCCAAGCCCGACCGAGUCACAUCUGUCAUUUGAAUGCAGUAUGCGGAACGACUCCGACGAAUGGACAAGGCGUCGUCGUAGCCUUCGUCAAUUUCAUCGUCGGCUUCGUCUUCAGGAUCACUAUAGUGGCUGCUUGCGCCGAUUUCGGCUCGCCUUGGGGCAUCAGGACCCGAAAUAACCAGAUCACCGGCACCCUGCACCACUGGAUCUCCAUACGAGGAUCCACUCGGCGGGAUUGCAGAGGCUGCCAACGAAUCGUAACUCGUCGAGGCCGAUGACGGUAGCGGAGCUGUUCGACCUGCGAUAGCCGACGACGACCCGUUUCCCGUGUCAUCGGUUCCGUCGAGCGACAUCCGCUGAUUGUCCAACAACGAUACGCCGGGCUGCGAAUGCAGCGACGCGGUCGAAUCCCUGCGAUCUUGCGCUGCUGUGGGCAGCAACGAAGGGCCGUCGGUGCCGUCGGCCGAUGCCGCCCGCGCAGCACUGCCCGGGGCAUCCGUCGACUUUUUAGGCCUUCGCGGUACGGUUUCGCUGGUGUCUUUGCGACGACCGCGCAGCGCUAGCUUUUUCAGGUCAACCUCCCGAAUGGAGAUGUAGCCCGCGCCGCGCAGCCGCGAUAACGGCAUUCGCAUACCCAGCACCGCGCGACUACUCAACGUGUCGGGAGCGCCGUGCGCACCGUAGCUGCUCGAGAGCAGCAUCGAGGUCGUCGCCGAGCGCGCUAGGUCGAUUGAGCGACGCGGAAGGGUUAUGUCACUGGUUGCGAUUGGCGCUGGGGCACCGCCGCCUGCUCUGGUGGCGACCGCCUCCGCAGGUCGAGCUGCAGACGCUUCGCAGCUCCGGGAGGUGCCAUACCCGGCCACAGUACCGCUGCUGGCGGACAGGAAGCGCUCGGCAUGUGCACGUGUGACGGGCUGUUUGCUCUGCAUAUCAUAGUAAACAUCGGAU